GACAGAGGCCUCGAGCGUUAGGCGGAAUCACUGGGCUUAAAGCGUGUGUAGGCGGAUCGUUAAGUACCUUGUGAAAUCCCACGGCUCACCCGUGGAACGGCUGGGCAUACUGGGAGUCUUGAGCCACCUAGGGGCUGCCGGAACAAAUGGUGGAGCGGUGAAAUGCGUAGAUAUCACUUGGAACGCCAAUGGUGAAAACAGACUGCUGGGGGUGUGCUGACGCUGAGACACGAAAGCCAGGGGAGCAAACGGG
rnacentral:rRNA from 1 species